GUCUAAGAGGUGUAAUCACGCUAUCUUUUCGAGAUAGAGUAGGGAAUAUUUUAUUCCCCUUAGAUA
rnacentral:tRNA from 1 species